rnacentral:tRNA from 1 species
GGUGGCUCAGUGGUAGAGCACUUACCUUGCGUGCAUGAGGCCGUGGGUUCGAUUCCUCACACCA